AACGAACGCUGGCGGCAUGCCUAACACAUGCAAGUCGAACGAAGCCUUCGGGCUUAGUGGCGCACGGGUGCGUAACGCGUGGGAAUCUGCCCUUGGGUUCGGAAUAACAGUUAGAAAUGACUGCUAAUACCGGAUGAUGUCUUCGGACCAAAGAUUCAUCGCCCAAGGAUGAGCCCGGGUAGGAUUAGGUUGUUGGUGGGGUAAUGGCCCACCAAGCCGACGAUCCUUAGCUGGACUGAGAGGAUGAUCAGCCACACUGGGGCUGAGACACGGCCCAGACUCCUACGGGAGGCAGCAGUGGGGAAUAUUGGACAAUGGGCGAAAGCCUGAUCCAGCAAUGCCGCGUGAGUGAUGAAGGCCUUAGGGUUGUAAAGCUCUUUUACCAGGGAUGAUAAUGACAGUACCUGGAGAAUAAGCUCCGGCUAACUCCGUGCCAGCAGCCGCCGUAA
rnacentral:rRNA from 1 species